GACGAAGGGGACUAGCGUUGUUCGGAAUUACUGGGCGUAAAGCGCACGUAGGCGGAUUUGUAAGUCAGGGGUGAAAUCCCGGGGCUCAACCUCGGAACUGCCUUUGAUACUGCAAAUCUCGAGUCCGAUAGAGGUGGGUGGAAUUCCUAGUGUAGAGGUGAAAUUCGUAGAUAUUAGGAAGAACACCGGUGGCGAAGGCGGCCCACUGGAUCGGUACUGACGCUGAGGUGCGAAAGCGUGGGGAGCAAACAGG
rnacentral:rRNA from 1 species